ACGGAGGAAAAGAAACCAACUGGGAUUACCUUAGUAACGGCGAGUGAAGCGGUAAAAGCUCAAAUUUGAAAUCUGGUACUUUCAGUGCCCGAGUUGUAAUUUGUAGAAUUUGUCUUUGAUUAGGUCCUUGUCUAUGUUCCUUGGAACAGGACGUCAUAGAGGGUGAGAAUCCCGUUUGGCGAGGAUACCUUUUCUCUGUAAGACUUUUUCGAAGAGUCGAGUUGUUUGGGAAUGCAGCUCAAAGUGGGUGGUAAAUUCCAUCUAAAGCUAAAUAUUGGCGAGAGACCGAUAGCGAACAAGUACAGUGAUGGAAAGAUGAAAAGAACUUUGAAAAGAGAGUGAAAAAGUACGUGAAAUUGUUGAAAGGGAAGGGCAUUUGAUCAGACAUGGUGUUUUUUGCAUGCACUCGCCUCUCGUGGGCUUGGGCCUCUCAAAAAUUUCACUGGGCCAACAUCAAUUCUGGCAGCAGGAUAAAUCAUUAAGAAUGUAGCUACUUCGGUAGUGUUAUAGCUUUUUGGAAUACUGUUAGCCGGGAUUGAGGACUGCGCUUCGGCAAGGAUGUUGGCAUAAUGGUUAAAUGCCGCCCGUCUUGAACA
rnacentral:rRNA from 1 species